rnacentral:rRNA from 1 species
AACGAACGCUGGCGGCAGGCCUCAUACAUGCAAGUCGAGCGAUUAAGACUCCUUCGGGAGUGUAUAAAGCGGCGAACGGGUGAGUAACAGGUGGAUGAUCUACCUUCCGGUGGGGGAUAACGGCUGGAAACGGCCGCUAAUACCGCAUUCGGUUAAUACGCUGUGGCGUAUUAAAGAAAGGCGCCUCAAAGCGCCGCCGGGAGAUGAGUCCGCCCCCCAUUAGCUAGUUGGUGAGAUAACAGCUCACCAAGGCAACGAUGGGUAGCCGAACUGAGAGGUUGAUCGGCCACACUGGAACUGAGACACGGUCCAGACACCUACGGGUGGCAGCAGUAGGGAAUAUUGGGCAAUGGGCGAAAGCCUGACCCAGCCAUGCCGCGUGAGUGAUGAAGGUCCUAGAGAUUGUAAAACUCUUUCUGUAGGAAGAAUGAAUAGGGAAGGAAAGUGUCCUAUUUGACGGUACCUCAGGAAUAAGGAACGGCUAACUCCGUGCCAGCAGCCGCGGUAAACUCG